GAUGAACGCUGGCGGCGUGCCUGACACAUGCAAGUCGAACGAACUGAGGGGCCGUUGAUCGGGUUUCGGAAGGGUUCGUCCCGGAAGAGCCUGUGAGGUUCCUUGGUUAGUGGCGAACGGGUGAGUAACACGUAGGUGACCUGCCCCGAAGAGGGGGAUAACCACUGGAAACGGUGGCUAAUACCCCGUAUAGUCCCGCAUUCGGUUGCGGGAUUAAAGGCUCCGGCGCUUCGGGAGGGGCCUGCGGCCUAUCAGCUAGUUGGUAGGGUAAUGGCCUACCAAGGCUAUGACGGGUAGCUGGUCUGAGAGGACGCACAGCCACACUGGCACUGAGACACGGGCCAGACUCCUACGGGAGGCAGCAGUGAGGGAUCUUGCGCAAUGGGGGAAACCCUGACGCAGCAACGCCGCGUGGGCGAAGAAGGUCUUCGGAUCGUAAAGCCCUUUUCUCUCGGACGAGGAAGGACGGUACGGGAGGAAUAAGCGUCGGCUAACUACGUGCCAGCAGCCGCGGUAAAACGUAGGACGCAAGCGUUAUCCGGAUUUAUUGGGCGUAAAGGGCGUGUAGGCGGCGUCUUAAGUUGGGCGUGAAAUCUUCCGGCUCAACCGGAAGGGUGCGUUCAAUACUGGGACGCUUGAGGGCAGCAGAGGGAGGUGGAAUUCCCGGAGUAGCGGUGGAAUGCGUAGAUAUCGGGAGGAACACCAGUGGCGAAGGCGGCCUCCUGGGCUGUACCUGACGCUGGAGCGCGAAAGCGUGGGGAGCAAACGGGAUUAGAUACCCCGGUAGUCCACGCCGUAAACGAUGGAUACUAGGUGUCGGUGGUAUUGACCCCAUCGGUGCCGCAGCUAACGCAUUAAGUAUCCCGCCUGGGGACUACGGCCGCAAGGCUA
rnacentral:rRNA from 1 species